rnacentral:snRNA from 1 species
AUCUUGCAUUGGCAGGACAUAUACUAAAUCUGAGACACUACAGAGAAGAUUAGUAUGGCCUCUUUCCAAGCAUGAGAGGUAAAUUCAUGAAGUGUUUCAUAUUUAA